rfam:Oryza glumipatula chromosome 2, whole genome shotgun sequence.
GAUUUCAACUGAAAAAGUUAUCAACAACAAAGUUGAAUAACUCAUCAAGAUCUAUAACUUUUAUUUUGGUCAUUUAUUCAUCUGAUAAAGUGAUAGUAACAUUGUUCACAAAUUUGACAUAUCUCUUAUCUGGUUUUAUAAACUAUACACAUAUAUGUAAAAUUUAUGAACAAUGUUACUAACAUUUUAUCAUAUGAAGAAAUGACCAAAAUAAAAGUUUUAGAUCUUGAUGAGUUAUUCAACUUUGUUGUUGAUAACUUUUUCAGUUGAAAUC